rnacentral:pre_miRNA from 1 species
CUGGUACUCCCUCCAUCCGAAAAUACUUGUUCUCGAAAUGGUUGUAUCUAGACUUAUUUUAGUUAUAGAUACAUCCAUUUUAUCCAUUUCUAUGACAAGUAUUUUCGGACGAAGGGAGUACUAC